GGUGGAACAAAAGGGGAAAAAGAUGGAGGUACACCAGCACAGUCACUCGUGUUCUCUCUCUCUCUCUCUCUCUCUCUCUCUCUCUGUCUCUUUUUCCUGGCUGCUGUGAGGUGAGCAGCUUUCCUCCACCAGACCCUUCGACCAUGAUGUCCCUGCUAACAAUGGGGCCAGAUGAACAGUGACCUUUGACCACAAGUCAAAAUUAACCUUUCCUCCUUUAAGUGGUUUGUCUCAGGUAUUUUGUCACAGCAACAGAAAGCUGACUAACACAACCAGAUUUCUCCAAAUCCAUGUAGAAAGAAAGUGCCCAUGGAAGGCUCAGGGGUCUGUCUUGGGCCCUCUGCUGUAACUAAAUUGGACAUAAAUAAGAUAUCUUAUUUACCAUAAAGUAAACAUAAAGCUUCUGGUUAAGACUUGUACAAUAUUUGGUUAGAGUCAGGGGUUAGGUUUUAAAAUACCUUAACAGAUUUGCACAGAACUCCCCAAAUGAGAUUCAACUGGGACAAACUGUGACUUAGGAUUCAACCAAAUGAUUUCCCUAAGUCAGAAAGGGACCCCUCCUUGAAUGUGGUACUUGGGCAGACCUAGAGCUCAACAUCAGCAAAAAUCUGAUAAGGCUCAAAAAUGGUGAAGCACUUUUACAAACAUUGUAACAUUUGGGGUACAAUUCAAGGUUGGGGAGAAGUAGCCAGGAGAUUGUUUCCGAAGUACUGAGUGGGCACCAGAUUGUAUGUGACCAUAGGAACAAUUCAUUUGUUCACUUGCCCGCUCAAUAAAUGUUUAAUGAGCAGCCCUGCCACUGACUGGGCUUAGGGAGAUGACAGCAACCGGGGUGGAAACACUUGCUGACCUCAUAGAGCUUCUUCUGGAUAGACAUGGCAGACUUAAUUGGGAGAAGAGAGGAGCCAGGAGAAGAGAGGAGCCAGUGGAAGGUUCACACUGUGUUGCAUGGGCAGGCUGACACUUUGCACAGACUCCUCUGGCUGCCGUGCAGGGAGCGGACUGGGGAGAGCAGAGAGAGGGGCAGAUGGGAGCACGUGGGAGCUAUGUUGGGAGUCCAGGGAGGAGUGGUGGUGUCCGGGACUGGGUGGGAGGCCAGGGCUGGCAUGGAAUAGACAGACUGAAGAGUUAUUCAGGCCACAGACUGAUAGGAGGGGCUUGGGUGGGGAGUGAGGAACAGUGGCCAACUGGAUGGCAGAUGGAAUGGGAAUGGGUAUGAGACAGAUGUCAGAAGAGCAGGCGAUGGUUUUCCUGGACAGUGGAGCCCAGAGGAGAGCCCUGCUCCAGAGCAGCCGCCCAGUUCCUGGCCACAAUGCCCACGGCCCACUCAAGGCAGGCUGCCAGGGAUUCACAGCCUGACCACAGUGACCGCACUGAGAGAGCAGCUGAGCCGUGGCCAUGACGGAGUCUGCUGUGAAAGCCUGCCUGGGAAGGGAACAGUGCCGCUGGGGCUGAGGAGACCUCUUGCGUGGAGUUUGAAGGAGAGCACAAGGACAUCUCCACAUCCAGGGAGCAGCCUGAGGUCCGCAUGGGAUGAUAACAUCAGUAGCCUAGAGUGGCUGCUGGCAUUGCACAGGCACAGAAUGG
rnacentral:lncRNA from 1 species